CUUCAAGCGGACAUGCUAGAGUCACAGGUGUUGUAGAUAAAUGCCAUUGUCUACUCCUUGCUCGAUGUUUACUUUCCUCCUGACUUCGGGUUAGUCUGGAUUUGGCCCCUGAUGGUGCUAGCCACUACUCUCGUCACAUAUGAGAGACAACAGCGCCCUCUGGUGUUUAAAGCCCAGAUCCACAAAAGGAGGGACAAGAGAAAAGGCUCUCAAGGCAGGACAAAGUCACUCCUCUACCCCAGGGUGCCAGACCAAGUGAAAGGGCUAGUCUGACAACGCACCCCUGUUCUGGAAAGCCAGGCUUUUCGGAGCCUGGAGAGACAGUGUCUCAGAUUUGACCAGCAUCAGGGCCUGUACUGGCCGGAGCCAGCCUAGAUGAAUGAGAGCAUAGUGCAUCUGGAGCAGGAAGGAGAUAGUCUUUUCCAGAAAGUUCGGCUACACUAAUCAUCCUUUCACGGAAAGGAGGGAACAGCAUCUCCAUAAACCACGCCCAAGGACUCUGGCCCUAGGAGAGCGUUUUUAGCGGGGCGUUUUCAAGGGGACAGCCAGGUGAGCACACGGAUAGCUGGAGACCCUGAAUUUCCUUCCUUGGACUGCUUCCUGGUCCUAAGGCAACCGCCAUACUGGCCCCUGUCACCGGCGAUGCUGAUAAUCCCAGAUUUUUCUGAAUAAGGACAGCUUUUGUAGGUACAGCCUCUUUCUGAGGGCUUGUUCGGUGCCAGCUCCGAAAGUGACCAGAAGUAUCACUGUAGGACGAGACCAACCACUCUGCACCUCCGUAUCCACCUGCUCAGUGAGCAAAAGCAAUUCAUGGAAUGGUUCGGGGGAGAGAAUACACCAGGAGGGCCAGCACAGGGCAGCACCUGCACAAAGAAUUUGGCUGACAUCUAAGUGGAAUCAAGAGGCAGCUGGACUACAGACAGUCUCUCCCUGGCAAGUCUUAGACUUUCAUUCCUCCCGCCUCCAUCUCUCAAGUCCCAGGACAGAAGAUUUGCACAAGUCAACCUUUCAAUACUGAAGUAGCAUUGGCACAGCAAUACCUGUGUCACAGUCAAUUGCGUGUCUUCAAAGAAUCUGGGGGCAAGGAGCAGGUGUAAAAGAACCAGAGUCUCACAUAACCUAAGCUGGACUUGAACUUCUGAUCCUUCUGCCUCCACCUCCUAGCUGCUGAGAUUAUAGGUGUGUACUACCUUGGCAAGACUAUAUUAAUGCUGCCAAGAAUAAAACCCAGGGCCUCGAACAUGCUCCGAAAGCACUCUACAACUGAGCCACAUCCCCAGCUCUCCAUUUUGAUUUUGACAACUGCCACAAAAGUCCUUGAACAGGCCUGGUGGCACUCAUCUGUAAUCCUAACACUAGGUAGGCCACAGCAGGAAAGAUCUCAUGUUUGGGACCUGACUGGGCUACAGAAUGGGUUCAAAGCUAGCCUGGGUAGUGUAAUGAGACCCAUAUUCAAAUUUAAAAACAUGCUUGAACAUGUUAUUGUCAUUUGUGUAAGUUUAAAUGAAGGAGGAAUUCUUAGCAGUGGAACUGCUGGGUCAAAGUGAAUGAGCUUUGAAAAUGUUCAUGCAUGAAACCCUAGGUUUGAUCUUAGCAAUCAAAUGACAUCUUUGACACACAGUGUCAUAUGGUUUUUCUUUGGUUUGUUUUUUGUGUUUUGUUUUCUGAGACAGGAUCUCUCUGUGUAGCCCUGGCUAUCCUGUAGACCAGGCUAGCCUCAAACUCAGAGAUCCUCCUGCCUCUGCCUCCUGAGUGCUGGGAUUAAAGGCGUGCACCAUCAUUGCCUGGCAUUAUAUGCAUUCUUUAAAGCUUUGUGUUUCCAUUUUCAAAGUGUUAGGAAGAUGCACAUAGUAAUUAUCACCAUAAAUGUGUGUGUACUCUUGUGUGUGGGUGCAUACGAAGAGGUAAACACAGAGGGGUGCACAUAGAGGAGAACACACGGAGGUGUGAACAUGGAGGGGUACACGUGGAGGGGUGUACUUAAAGGUUAGAGAUCAAAUUAGGGUGUCACAGGAGCCAUCUAUCUUUUUGUUUUGAUUUUUUUUUUUUGAGUCCCAGGCUGUCCUAGAACUCUCUCUGUAAACCAGGUUGGCCUUAAACUCACAGAAAUCUGCCUGCCUCUGCUUCCCGAGUGCUGGGAUUAUCAACACACAUCACCGUGAUUAGUCCCAUCUUGUCUCUUGCUGGGACCUGGGGCUUGCUGGUGUGACUAGGCUGACUGGCCAGAGACCCCCAGGGGUCCUGGUACACUAAGCCUGUGGGUACUGGGAGCAAGCGGGGGUCCUCAUGCUUUCCCAGAAAGAACACCACUGGUUGAGCUUUCUUUCCAACCCUUAUUCCCUGCCCCUCCCCCUUCUGGCUUCUGUCAGCCUGUAUGGCCCAAGUGAUCUUAUCACCUCACCUUCUCAUAUAGUUGGGGCUGUUAGAGCACACCACUGGCCCCAGUCAUGUCUUAAUCACUUUUUAAAAAGUAAUUUAGUUGGGGGCUGGAGAGAUGGCUCAGUGGUUAAGAGCACUGCUUGUUCUUCCAAAGGUCCGGAGUUCAAUUCCCAGCAACCACAUGGUGGCUCACAGUCAUCUGUAAUGAGAUCUGGUGCCCUCCUCUGGCCUGCAGGCAUACAUGCAGACAGAACACUGUACACAUAAUAAAUAAAUAAAUUUUAAAAAAUAAUUUAAUUAUUUAUAUGUAUUUUGUGUACAUUGCUAUUUUGCUUGCAUGUAUGUCUGUGGGGGUGUCAAAUACCCUGGAACUAGAGUUAGGGACAUUUGUGAGUCACUACCCUGUGGGUCCUGGGAAUUGAACCCAGAUCCUAUGGAAGAGCAGCCAGUGCUCUUAACCUCUGAGCCAUCUCUCCAGCUCCCCCCCAACUUUUAAAAAAUUUAACAAUAUAAUGCAUUUUUUUGUUUGUUUUUCAAAGGCAUGUGCCACCAAUGCCUGUUACCCGCCCCUCACCUGUUUUUAAAAAGUCAGGGUCUC
ensembl:lncRNA